AUUGAACGCUGGCGGCAUGCCUUACACAUGCAAGUCGAACGGUAACAGGUUAAGCUGACGAGUGGCGAACGGGUGAGUAAUGUAUCGGAACGUGCCCAGUCGUGGGGGAUAACUGCUCGAAAGAGCCGCUAAUACCGCAUACGACCUGAGGGUGAAAGCGGGGGAUCGCAAGACCUCGCGCGCUUGGAGCGGCCGAUAUCAGAUUAGGUAGUUGGUGAGGUAAAGGCUCACCAAGCCGACGAUCUGUAGCUGGUCUGAGAGGACGACCAGCCACACUGGGACUGAGACACGGCCCAGACUCCUACGGGAGGCAGCAGUGGGGAAUUUUGGACAAUGGGCGCAAGCCUGAUCCAGCCAUGCCGCGUGCGGGAAGAAGGCCUUCGGGUUGUAAGCCGCUUUUGUCAGGGAAGAAAAGGUUCUGGCUAAUACCUGGGACUCAUGACGGUACCUGAAGAAUAAGCACCGGCUAACUACGUG
rnacentral:rRNA from 1 species